AACGAACGCUGGCGGCAUGCCUAACACAUGCAAGUCGAACGAAGUCUUCGGACUUAGUGGCGCACGGGUGCGUAACGCGUGGGAAUCUGCCCUUAGGUACGGAAUAACUCAGGGAAACUUGUGCUAAUACCGUAUGAUGUCUUCGGACCAAAGAUUUAUCGCCUAGGGAUGAGCCCGCGUUGGAUUAGCUAGUUGGUGAGGUAAAGGCUCACCAAGGCGACGAUCCAUAGCUGGUCUGAGAGGAUGAUCAGCCACACUGGGACUGAGACACGGCCCAGACUCCUACGGGAGGCAGCAGUGGGGAAUAUUGGACAAUGGGCGAAAGCCUGAUCCAGCAAUGCCGCGUGAGUGAUGAAGGCCUUAGGGUUGUAAAGCUCUUUUACCCGGGAAGAUAAUGACUGUACCGGGAGAAGAAGCCCCGGCUAACUCCGUGCCAGCCGCCGCGGUAA
rnacentral:rRNA from 1 species